GGGCGACGAGCUGCAAGGUGCGGCAGGGGACUGUAACUCCCCCGGGCGACCCACGCCUGGUUCGAUUCCAGGGUCGCCCACCA
rnacentral:tRNA from 1 species